rnacentral:misc_RNA from 1 species
GUAUUGUAUUGCGUUAAACGCGACAUACAUUCCAUGAGACUUUGUUACGGUGUGUGUGUAAAGGCGUAGGACCACAGCAAGGGGACAGGGUCCCCAAGGCCAUAGAACUACAGAGGGUGCACAGGUGUGAGUGGAUGUGUAAACAGAGCGUGCACGUGCCCCCUUUCAAGGGCCAGCAACAGCUCGUGUCAACGGUUCAGUAAUGAUCCUUCCGCAGGUUCACCUACGGAAA